ACACACACGUUUCGCCUCGCAGCGCCCCGUCAUCUCCCUCCGCCUCUUCCCACGGAACGGAAGCCAUUAAAACCCCUCGCCGUCAUCCACUUCCCUCCCCUCCCGGAGAAAUCAAGAAUCCAAAGCCGUCCCCUGCCUUCCGAUCCCAUCCGCCGCGCCCUCCGGAUCAAAGCUCGGAGCUGCUUCUCCCCCUGAUUCGCUCCAAUUCCGCCAGCUCCACCUCCCCAGUCAUCAGUUCCCCGGUCCGGGCUCCGGAGGUCGCCGUUGCACGCGCUCUCGUCAGAAGAGCAGGAGUGCAGUAGCCCUCGCCGCCUCGCGGAACGCGCGCGCUGUUGAUUUAUGUCGCCUGCCCUGCCGCAGCUCCAUGGUUCUGAGCUCCCGUCGCCACCAGCCUCCUCUUGCUCCCUUCUCCUCCAGCCUUGGCUGAGGGGCGCCGGGAGUGCGGGUAUUCCAGGGUAUCCAGAUUCAGAUUUGGGAUGAAGUACUCUGGGUUCCUGCAUUUAGACCCUUGCCUUUUAUUUUCUUGUACGUGAGGCAGUACAAGUUGAAGAAUCCCCCAAUCACAAUCAAUCUUGGUUUGGUUUGGGUCGGUUGAAUUUGGCACCCCUCCUCAAUUCAAACAGUCAUCCUGAAUUUGAAAUUCUGAAACUUCGGUGAAGAAAACUAAUCUCCCUUUGUCCAGUUCAGAUCAGAAGUUAAGAGACAAUCCUCUUUAUAAUUUGGUAGAUUGGGUACUGCAGUUGUAGACACGUCUUCCUUGAUUGCUGUUGCUUGGGAUCUGGAUGUUGCGCUCCAGGAAGAUGCCCCCUAUGCGGAAGGUCCGCAUUUUCUGCUCUGAUCCUGAUGCAACCGAUUCCUCCGGUGAUGAAGAUGAUCAAAACCCAAAGACAGAAAAGAAAAUUAUAGGAGUGGUGCUAGUUCCAAUAAAGAAUUGUAAAACCUCAAAACCUCAAAAAACUAUCAUGCCAUCUGGAAUGAAGGAUCUGGAUGGUCCAGAGAAGAAGGUAUCAUCGAGCAAGUACCGUGGUGUGCGCCUGCGGGAGUCGGGUCGGUGGCAAGCAGAGAUUCGCAAUCCUUUGACAAAGAAACGGGAGUAUAGUUUGCAUAACACGGAGGAGGAGGCUGCUGCAGCAUAUCAGGCAAAAUGGAACAAGUUCCGUGCAGAGAUGCUAGCCCUGAAAGCUCAGCCGCCCGUGUCAGAACAUGCAGCCUUGUCCAGCUUGUCCUUGGUUUCCUGCAUUUCUUCAUCUGUAUCAUGCAAGCAGAAGGCACAAAAAGCUCAGAACAGAGAAGGAUCAUUAAUGGAGGUACACUGUGAUCCUAUAGAUGAAAGCUUACGGAAUUUCUCCCUCAAACCUUCGGAGAUUCCAGAAAAUGUCAUGCUAAACCUGAAAGAUGAGCAUCCCGUCAGUGACUCUGUGAGGCCAGCUGAUGGACUGCCGCCUGAUGAUUUCACCAAGCCAGAAGAUAUGUUCAAAGCCAGUGAUUUUAUUGGCGCUACAUACAAACCUCUGGAUGAUGACUAUAUUGGCCUGGCUGACAUUAGCCACCUGCCACUUCCAAUCAAUGACCCAGAGUUCGAUCUGGAUGCAGAGCUUGAUUGGAGUGGGUUUGACUUCACUUCAAUGGAGCAUGAACUCGAGUUGCUGUGAGGUUCAUCGAAGAUGCUUUCUAAAGAACUCUGGGUCUUGGUGAAAUCAUCGCACAUUGAUGGGUACUUCUAUUCAGCGCAAUCGUGCUCUUGAUGGUGUUUAUUGUGCAGGAAUCUGCUCUGAGUUGUCUGCAACUCUGAAUGCUGCAGUGGCUCCAGAUUUCAGUCUGACCGCAGAUUAGUGGGUGCAUAUUGAUGGGAUCUGUAAACAAGUUGAUCUCCAAAUUUUGUCGGAAACUGUACAGUUCAUAGAGUAACUUGUCUGAGAGUGCUAAUAUGCAACAAGUUUUCAGCAGUAUGUACAUAUUCUAAUUUCAGAGCUGACACUGAUUCAGCAUCUGUGCA